rnacentral:rRNA from 1 species
UACGGGGGGAGCAAGCGUUGUUCGGAUUUACUGGGCGUAAAGGGCGCGUAGGCGGUCAGCACAAGUCAGUUGUGAAAUCUCCGGGCUUAACUCGGAAAGGUCAACUGAUACUGUGCGACUAGAGUGCAGAAGGGGCAACUGGAAUUCUUGGUGUAGCGGUGAAAUGCGUAGAUAUCAAGAGGAACACCUGCGGCGAAGGCGGGUUGCUGGGCCGACACUGACGCUGAGGCGCGAAAGCUAUGGGAGCGAACGGG